ACGCUCACUUCACGUUUGAUCUCGGUUCUGGGGGAAGGAGCUGUGUUCAUGUAUCUGGCUGUUGUGAGUUUAAAACGUGAGUAAUCUGAUCAGUUCUUUAUGGGAACUUCCCUGGUACAUCACAGGUUGUGUAAUGUAUAUUAUGCUUCAGGGGUGCGCGGGUGAAGAUUACAUUUCCUGUUUGAGAGAGUCGCUGAUCUGUGUUAGCCAGGUAAUUGUUUGGUUGUUUUAUCCCGACGUGUAAUCUAAAAUGUAGGUUUUCUAGACAUCGUUAGUUGAAUUGUAGGGUAAUCAGUAGUGUGUUCUGGCAAUGCGCAUGCGCAAAACGUUUCCACGCUGGAUUUAUGGCAUAUCUGAUGACCUGCCCAUAAUUCUGCGGUACCUUGCCUUUAUACGUAUUCGGAUGUGAAAUGUAAGUAAAAAUCAAUAUAUCUUGAAUUAAAUAAUUUUCUUAAAUUAAAAUGGUGACAAAAAAUAGUAUUUUAUAGUAAAAAAAAAAAAUGAGUCUUUACCGAUAUAAUACUUUUGUGAUUGUGAUGUAAACACCACCACAGACAUUUGAAGCUGACAAGAUGUGCUACCCCUCUUUCUACAUCCUUAAUUCAGGUGGUGGUUCCUUCUGAUAGGUGUUUAGAGCUGACAAGACAUGCUACCCUGUUUGUGAUUUAUAUCGUUUCAUUGAUAAUGUGGAGGUUGGCAUUUUGGAGGUUAGUUACGUGCUCACGGAAGAGGUGGGUCUUUAGCUGGUUUCUGGGACAGAUAGUGUGAAGGUUCUGGAAAGGAACCUUGAGCCACGCUGAGUAGGCAAAGAGAUAUGCCAGAACAACCAUCAGUGUUCAUUUCUGAGAGGAGCUCAACUUCAUUACUGAUUCUACUGAAGCUGAUACUCAUCACAUCAGUCUAAAUCACAUUGCACUGGAGGUUGGAAUAUCUAGAGCAUAAAUGGAAUGUCUUUUGGCUCAGUGGAAGCACAGUUUUGGUCUGUUGCCAGAUCUUUUGUGCAAAUCUCUUUAGGAGGAGGGGACGAGUGGAAGGUUCACUACACUUACUGCGAGCUGUGCAACAGUUCAGUCUCAAUUUUGCAGAAUCAGCCUACUACACACUUCUGACUGACUUUUUUGUCUGAGAAUUGCCAAGAUGUCC